ACUGAACUUGAAAAAAAUUUAAGUUGGGUUCGUUACUUAAUAAAAAUAACGACUCGGUCCAAUCUAACCGAUAAAUUUUCCUUAAUUUAAAAUUUUUUUAGCACCGGCAUGAAAGGAUAAGGGACAUUGAUAGCAAAGUCCAAGAAUAUUCUAUGGUCUUUAUUCUGACAAAUGUACCUCUCUUGUCCUCUCCCUUAUUGUAAUUUACUAAUAAAAAAUUAAUAAAAUAAAGAAUAAAGGACAGUUUUGGUAUAAGGUAGUGAGUAAUACCCACAUUUAUGGAAGAAUCCCAACUAAAUUAACUAACUAAUGCCAAACUAACUAUAAAAGCAGCUCUUCUUUGUUCGAUCUACCCGAUUUCAUGCAUGCAAAUGCAAAAAGAGUAAUUCAAUGAGAUCAACGUUCUCUUAAUAAUCGUUAAUGUUAGAAAAUACGACUUUUCAAAAUGAUAUGAUAUUGUCUACUUU